CCUGCAGUUUUAUCUGCGCGUGGCUACAUUGGGGCGCACGCGCAUCUCAAGGGUUGUGGAGCUGUGUGCGUAAAGCACGCUCUCGCUCGCGUGUCUUGAUCUUAAUGUUUGGAAAAGCUACAGUUCUGGGAGUUCUGGGAACACAAGUCAAGUCGGGACAGCAAACGCCAGGUGGCGCACGCUAACCGCCAAAUUACGGUGUUCUCAUCACAUAUGAGAGAAGCAGGAAACAUGUCCCAUAACAGGACCCUGGAGCUGGAACAACCAACCAAACCAAAUAUGGAUGAGGUGCUGAGAGCUGCUUUCCAUCACGAACAAGCUGGAGAAUUGACAGAAUUCAACUUUAAAGAGCACUCUGAAGCUGGAGGCAAACCACGACAACACCAUCUGUAUCAGUAAUGCAGGAGAAACACAGAGACAACUCAUAAAUGUCGGUAAUGAGACUUUUACUUCAAAAGAUGUGGUCCAAGACAAAGAUGGAUCCCAGUCGUGCCCUCCCGGUGCCACCUGAGGCUGGCUGUGCACCGCCGAGCGCUCACUGUGUCCAGAGAGUCAGCAGGAGCCUGUGAGCAGUGCCUGUUCCAUGCUGCCGU